rnacentral:rRNA from 1 species
AUUGAACGCUGGCGGCAGGCCUAACACAUGCAAGUCGAACGAGUGGCGGACGGGUGAGUAAUGUCUGGGAAACUGCCUGAUGGAGGGGGAUAACUACUGGAAACUGUAGCUAAUACCGCAUACCAUCGGAUGUGCCCCGAUGGGAUUAGCUAGUAGGUGGGGUAACGGCUCACGUAGGCGACGCUCCCUAGCUGGUCUGCGAGGAUGACCAGCCACACUGGAACGGAGACACGGUCCAGACUCCUACGGGAGGCAGCAGUGGGGAAUAUGGGAGAAUGGGCGCAAGCCUGAUGCAGCCAGGCCGCGUGUAUGAAGAAGGCAUUCGGGUUGUAAAGUACUGUAAGCGGGGAGGCGGUACCCGCAGAAGAAGCACCGGCUAACUCCGUGCCAGCAGCCGCGGUAAUUC